rnacentral:sRNA from 1 species
GGAUGGACACAAUAACGUAAACAAACAGGUUAAUAUCGGACAGAAAUAUACGUCGCUGUUAUUGGGCAUCGAUGGACUGGUGGAGAUCAAGUGUCCGUUCAAGAUAAGAGACACUAAUCCAUGUGAAGUGAACACCCCGAAUUUUUAGCUGAGACCUCAUGCCCAAACUGAGAGGGGACAGCUUUGUACCAACAUGCUACCAAGUGCUUCAAGACACUUUUACCAAGUACAGGGACAAAUGGCAGUGUGUGAUGUGGAUCACUGUGAUUUUGUGUGUUGGACCACUCGUGGACUACAUGUUGAGCGCAUUCACCGUGAUCCACAUUUCUUCAAUGAGAAAGUGCUGCCAUUGUUGAACAGAUUCUUCCUGAAAGCAAUGCUUCCAGAAAUUCUUACUCAAAGACUUCUUGAUGCAUACAACAAUGUUCAGGACACUGAGUGUAUAUGUGGAAAACCUGAGAGCUUCGACAACAUGAUAGAAUGUGAAUCUGGACAUUGUAAAGUUGGCUGGUAUCAUUUCAAAUGUGUGGGACUAAAAUCCGCCCCCAAGGGUUCGUGGACUUGCCUACCUUGCAGAAGAAUGCCCCCCUCCAAGAAAAACAAACAGUGACUAAACAAUUAUUAACUCUGAUGAUGUCCACAUUUUGAUAUACUUUUUAAUGAAUGACUGCAAAUAUGAUUAAGAACUGUGCAUAAGUAUGCCUUGUGUGGAUUUGCAUUUUUUCAUAAAGAUUUAUAUAUGCUGUGAAGAAAUUGACAAUGACUAUAAAUCUAUUGUGAUCUUUGAUUAUGAACUACCUAGAUUUCAGUUUGUGUUUAAUUUUUUUGAAAGCUGGCCCCUCAAUACGGAGCACUAGUAUUUUUUAUUACAUCUACAUGUGUUCGGAUGUCCACUAUAUCUGUUGUAGUCUGUUUUCACUCAUUUUUAAUGCCUUAUCAUUUCAUCUUUGUCAUGUUUAAUAAAAUAUUUCUAACAAAUUGC